UGGCCUUGGGCAUGUGCUUCCCUCUCUGGCCUCAGUUUCCUCCAAAUGAGUGUCCUUUGCCAAAGCCUAGUUUGGGAAAAACCUGAGGUCAUGCAAAGUAGGGUCUGGCAAUGCCCCAAAAUGCCAGGAACAAAUUCACCCCUCCAAUGCUUCAAAUUCUUUAGAAAAUGUGGGCUGACACUGCGGAAAGAGCAAGAUACAAAACAGUUUGUACAGAGCGUUCCUUGGUUGUAACUUUAUCCAGCCUGUCUGCCUAGAAGCAAGGUGGUGGAGGCUGUUUGCCAAUGUGUUAUCUGUGGUUAUCUGAGCGGCCAGGAGGAAAUUAUUUGGGGCAAUUUUAAUUUUCUUUCUGGCAUGCUUCCAAAUUUUCUACAAUGAACAUCUAUUACUUUUCAUAAUCAAGACAUUACAAAAAUUCAAAAGCAAUCCAUCUCGCACUUGUCCUUUGUCAUGCUUGGGAAGUACAUAAGUUGCUUCUAGAAAUGAGAGGGAUUAUCCAUGUAGCCUCGUAGGUGGAGACUGUGGCAUUUUCUUAUUAGUUUUCCAUUGUUGUGUAACAAAUUACCACAAACUUCGUGGCUUAAACCAGCACACAUUUAGCAUCUCACAGUUUCUGUGGGUUGGGAGUCCAGGCAUGGCUUAGCUGAGUCCUCUGUUCAGGGACUCAUGAGGCUACCACGAAGCUUUGGGCCAGGCUGCAUCCUCAUCUGGAGGCAUGAAUGGGGAAGAAUCCACUCCCCAGCUCACUCAGGUUGUUGGCAGAAUUCAGUUCUUUGUGGCCAUGGGCCAGAGGGCCCCUGCUUCUUGCUGUCCUUUGGUUGGAAGCCACCCUCAGCUCCUAGGGGCCACCCACAGUUUCUCUGCAUGUCGGCUUUUACCAUCAUGGCCACUUUCUUCAACAAAGCAGCAAGGGGACCCUUGAGAGUAAGUCUGCUAGCAUGAUGGAGUCAUAUAUAAUGUAAUAUAAUCACAAGGUGACAGCCCAUCACCUUUGCCAGACACUACUGGUUAGAAGUAAAUCUAAAUUCCUUACUUGCUCGAUGCAAAUCCGGUAAAAAAAGUUAAAAAAUAAAUUUGAAAAUGAAAAUUGAUGAGAAAAAAUAAAAAAGAAGUAAAUCUCAAGUCCUGCCUCAAGGGGAAGUCCAAGUGCAGAGGAAGGGAUUUGACAGGGUGUUGUUAGGGACUGAAUGGGUCCUCCCAAAAUUCAUGUUGAAGCCUAACCCCAGUGUGAUUGAUGUACUUGGAGAUGGGCCUCUAAGGAAGUAACGCUAAAUGAGGUCAUAAGGGUGGGGCCCUCAUCCAGUAGGAUUAGCGACCUUGUGAGAAGACACGCCAGAGGGCUCUUUACCUUUCUCCGUGUGCAUGUACCGAGGAAAGGCUGCGUGAAGACGUAUUGAGAAGGUAGCCAUCUACAAGCCGGGAAGAGAGUCCUCACCAGAAACGUAGCAGCUGGUCACCCUGAUCUCAGACUGCCAGCCUCCAGAACUGAGGAGCAGUGCAGGCUGUGGGGCCUUGAUCUGAUGCAGUCAGCGAAGUGGUGUGCCAUUCAUCCACCUGGAGUGUGCCUAGGCUCCCAGAACCUGCUCUGACACGGAUAGGAAGGACUUAUUUCAAUCAAAGAGUAUUGGACCUUCUUAAUCCAGGCCUCCUAUCCAUUUGCUAACAGGCCAACUGGCACGGGUGGCACCCAAAGACCUUAGCCUACGAGAGAAAUGGAAUGUGACAUGUUUUUCUGUCACCAGCAUUCCUGAGGGUGGUGGGGGCAAAUAACUGAUUUUUCUUAUAAAAGAGAUCAAAUGUGA